UGAGGAAUAUUGGUCAAUGGGCGAGAGCCUGAACCAGCCAUCCCGCGUGCAGGAAGAAUGCCCUAUGGGUUGUAAACUGCUUUUUCGCAUGAAGAACACUCCUGACGUGUCAGGGGCUGACGGUAAUGCGUGAAUAAGCACCGGCUAACUCCGUGCCAGCAGCCGCGGUAAUACGGAGGGUGCAAGCGUUAUCCGGAUUUAUUGGGUUUAAAGGGUGCGUAGGCGGCAAUUUAAGUCAGUGGUGAAAUCCUGCAGCUCAACUGUAGAACAUCCAUUGAAACUGAAUUACGUGAGUAAUCUUGAGGUAGGCGGAAUGUGUAGUGUAGCGGUGAAAUGCUUAGAUAUUACACAGAACACCGAUUGCGAAGGCAGCGUACUAAGGAUUUACUGACGCUGAUGCACGAAAGCGUGGGGAGCAAACAG
rnacentral:rRNA from 1 species